rnacentral:rRNA from 1 species
UACGUAGGGUGCGAGCGUUAAUCGGAAUUACUGGGCGUAAAGGGUGCGCAGGCGGCUAUAUGAGACAGGUGUGAAAUCCCCGGGCUCAACCUGGGAACUGCAUUUGUGACUGUAGAGCUGGAGUACGGUAGAGGGGGAUGGAAUUCCGCGUGUAGCAGUGAAAUGCGUAGAUAUGCGGAGGAACACCGAUGGCGAAGGCAAUCCCCUGGACCUGUACUGACGCUCAUGCACGAAAGCGUGGGGAGCAAACAGG